GCUCCACAAACAGUGGCACCCCAUCGCAGAAGCUAUUAAAUACAGACACGCAGGUUUCUCAUGCACUCUUAUCACUGGCCUUGUUUAUCCCAGACUGCUCCCACUCUACAGCCUAAGGAAGAGUACUCUGCUAAAUGCCAGUGUGGAAAACACCAGUGCAAAACAUGUUCACAAAGAAGGAGGCCGUAGGUAAAGUGUCAUCCGGAGAGACACAAAGGAGUCAGAGAUUACCGAGGUCCAAAUCGGUCGAGCUUGCCUGACAAAAAUGGGAGUGUUAGGAAUCCAUAUCUCAACCCCCAAGGUGAUUUAUUUGACAUUACACAGAGCCUGCAGCACAAGAAAUGAGUCCACUGAAGGGAAAACAACUCAGUGGCAACUGGAUAGAUUGUUAUGGAACGAGUAUGGUACAGACGUGGUUCCCACAGGAUGAAGAUCCCUUAUUUUAGCAACAAUGCUGAUUGUUCCACUAGGACCAACAAUAGGUUGGGAUUUGUGGUUGGAGUGAAAUGCAA